rnacentral:sRNA from 1 species
GACUGCGGAGGAUCAUUACUGANAACUAUACUCAGUUUUUUAUAUCCCAUUGUUNACCUACCCUGUUGCUUCCACUGGACAUGUCCUACCUUGUGUGGGACCUUUGGCUUGUGUGAAUAACGCAUGCCCGAGAGUUGCCAGUGGCAAGACCAUUUACCAAAACUUGAUUUAAAACACAUUGUCUGAAUCUAUUGCUUCAAUGAAAUAAAACUUUCAACAACGGAUCUCUAGGCUCUUGCAUCGAUGAAGAACGCAGUGAAAUGCGAUAAGUAAUGUGAAUUGCANAAUCUCGUGAAUCAUCGAAUCUUUGAACGCACAUUGCGCCCUAUGGUAUUCCGUANGGCAUGCCUGUCUGAGCGUCAGCUCCCCCCCACUCAAGUAUCCUUUUGUGACACUUGGAUUGCUUUGGAGAGGUGCCUCUUGAUAANAGUCGCCCUCCANAAAUUUAUAGGCAGUAUGGUUUGCACCUGAACCANACGUAAUAAUAAUAAAAUCGUUUGUUUGGNUAUAAUUGUGCUUGCCUUAACCCACCCAUUUUUACCUUGGGNGACCUCAGAUCAGGUAGGGAUACCCGCUGAACUUAAGCAUAUCAAUAAGCGGAGGAA